rnacentral:rRNA from 1 species
UACGUAGGGUGCGAGCGUUAAUCGGAAUUACUGGGCGUAAAGCGUGCGCAGGCGGUUUUGUAAGCCAGAUGUGAAAUCCCCGGGCUUAGCCUGGGAAUGGCAUUUGGGACUGCAAGGCUUGAGUGCGGCAGAGGAGACUGGAAUUCCUGGUGUAGCAGUGAAAUGCGUAGAUAUCAGGAGGAACACCGAUGGCGAAGGCAGGUCUCUGGGCUGACACUGACGCUCAUGCACGAAAGCGUGGGGAGCAAACAGG